UGAUUCCUGGGCUGUUCGAUAUCUUGCAUUUUUUUGAGCCUACAUUAUGACAUACGGGAUUCCAAUAUUUUUAAGCAGAUGUCAGGCCUCCUCUGAGUGGAAGACAGAAACUUAAGUGAGGUUGCCCACCUAGCAUGGCUAGGAGUCAAUGGUGCAGGAGUCGGCACUCUGGGGAUUAC
rnacentral:other from 1 species